UGCAAAAACCCUCAGCUCACCCGAGGGCCAAUGGAAAUUUAUUAAUUUUUUUUUGUCCUUUUCCAUCUUUCCCCAAGUGGCUUUUCCUUGCAAAAUGCCUGACAUGACACCAGAGGGGAACCUGGGAGUGGGGGCCACCCCAAGGGGCAGCCCAGGGACUUAAAUACAAGCUGGAGGGCAGGGCACAGGAGGUGCUAGCAGAGUGAGGGUUAAGGCUGGUGCCCAGCCUCUGGCACGGUGGGCCUUCUGCCUCCGCCUGACAUGGGGACAAAGGGGCACGGUGGGCAGGCAGCGCAUGGGUCUGUCUCUGGCAGGGCAGAGGGCGACAGGAGCAGACUCCCUCCAGGCUCAAGACACAGGCCCAGCGCUGCUACCCGCCCACCCGCCCUAGAUAUACUCAGACCCCACCGCAGCUGGACGGCUAGAGCUGGGAGUGUGGGAGGGGAGGGGAGG
rnacentral:antisense_RNA from 1 species